rnacentral:tmRNA from 1 species
GGGGCUGAUUCUGGAUUCGACGGGAUUUGCGAAACCCAAGGUGCAUGCCGAGGGGCGGUUGGCCUCGUAAAAAGCCGCAAAAAAAUAGUCGCAAACGACGAAAACUACGCUUUAGCAGCUUAAUAACCUGCUUAGAGCCCUCUCUCCCUAGCCUCCGCUCUUAGGACGGGGAUCAAGAGAGGUCAAACCCAAAAGAGAUCGCGUGGAUGCCCUGCCUGGGGUUGAAGCGUUAAAACGAAUCAGGCUAGUCUGGUAGUGGCGUGUCCGUCCGCAGGUGCCAGGCGAAUGUAAAGACUGACUAAGCAUGUAGUACCGAGGGUGUAGGAAUUUCGGACGCGGGUUCAACUCCCGCCAGCUCCACCA